ensembl:lncRNA
AUGACAAGCCCCUCUUUGACGUUGGCAUCAUUGAAGGUUCUGCAAGGCGUCUACGCUCGGGGAACUUCACAGAUAGGUGCUCCAAAGGGAAAGUGGUGGAGCAUUUAGGUGUGUCGAGAGGAGAGCUCUUCAUUUGGGAUGAGAGCCUUUGAAGAUGAAACAACUGCAUUCCAAGUCCCAGUCUCCCUCCCUGGAGACAUGCUUUCCAAAAGGCUACAGCCACAGCACAAAGCCAACCUUGACAUUUGCAUAAAUCCAUCAGUGUCACCACGACAGCGCCGACUCCUAGGUCGCCAUCCGCCGUUAAAUUUAGAAAAAAACCAAAACUAGGCAGGAAUGGUGAAAAAAAACACAGCAAAGGUUGUAAAGGUUUUGCAUUGCUAUGCUGCAGUCAGAUGAUUACAUUGACAGGUCUCAGGUGAGCGCUUUUCAGGCACAAGCUAUACAAAAAACAGCCAUGGCUUUUGUUAUUGCCUGGAGUUUUACAACAUGACAUGUAAGUGUGCGUGAGAUUGUUUAUGUGUGUGAGAGAGUGCUGCUUGAAGGAGGAGGCAGUGCAUAUGAAUUCGUCUGUCCAAGAUUCACGAGUAAAUGCUGUGGACAAGGCCACUGGCCUCACCUGGCAGUCGAUUGUCGUAAUUUCACCGAUGUCACUUUCAAUUUAGCCAGCGACUGAGAUGAGAGAUAACUCUGCAGGCUGCACCCACACCACUCCACCUCCUGCUCUCUGGAGCUACAAGUGUGCAGGCUGCAACAGCAGUGGCUUACAGACAGGAAGUAGACAACUGUGUGAGAAGACACAAUUGCGUGUUUUUUUUUUUUUUUUUUAAUUGAGGUGCUGUGAAAUGAGAAUUAUAUUGUAAAAAGUCAACUAGAUCACUUGUUGUUACCUAUGUCUCAGGCUUUCUCCAAUUAUGUUCUUCUGUUAACCAAAUAUGUGACCCUGGACCACAAGACCAGUCAUAAGUAGCAUUUGUAUCAAUAGCCAACAAUACACUGUAUGGGUCAAAAUGAUCGAUUGUUUUUUUUUUAUGCCAAAAAUCAUUAGGAUAUUAAGUAAAGCUCAUGUUCCAUGAAGAUAUUUUGUAAAUAUCCUACCCUAAAUAUAUCAAAACUUAAUUUCUGAUUAGUAAUAUGCAUUGCUAAGAACUUAAUUUGGUAAAUUUAAAGGCAGUUUUCUCAAUAUUUCAAUUUUUUGUUAGUUUUUUUUUUUUUUUGCACCCUCAGAUUUCAGAUUUUUAAAUAAUUGUAUCUCGGCCAAGCAUUUUCCUAUCCUAACAAACUAUACAUCAAUGGAAAACUUAUUUAUUUAUUAUUGAUGUAUAAAUCU